rnacentral:rRNA from 1 species
CCUACGGGAGUCAGCAGUGGGGAAUAUUGCACAAUGGGGGAAACCCUGAUGCAGCGACGCCGCGUGAGUGAAGACGUAUUUCGGUAUGUAAAGCUCUAUCAGCAGGGAAGAAAAUGACGGUACCUGAUUAAGAAGCCCCGGCUAACUACGUGCCAGCAGCCGCGGUAAUACGUAGGGGGCAAGCGUUAUCCGGAUUUACUGGGUGUAAAGGGAGCGUAGACGGCAGCACAAGUCUGGAGUGAAAUGCCGGGGCUUAACCCCGGAACUGCUUUGGAAACUGUGCAGCUAGAGGGAAGGAGAGGUAAGUGGAAUUCCUAGUGUAGCGGUGAAAUGCGUAGAUAUUAGGAGGAACACCAGUGGCGAAGGCGGCUUACUGGACUGUAACUGACGUUGAGGCUCGAAAGCGUGGGGAGCAAACAGGAUUAGAUACCCCGGUAGUC